rnacentral:rRNA from 1 species
UACGGAGGAUGCGAGCGUUAUCCGGAUUUAUUGGGUUUAAAGGGUGCGUAGGCGGCUUUUUAAGUCAGCGGUGAAAUUUUGCAGCUUAACUGUAACAGUGCCGUUGAUACUGUUUGGCUAGGAUUUGGUUGUAGUGUGCGGAAUGUGUGGUGUAGCGGUGAAAUGCUUAGAUAUCACACAGAACACCGAUUGCGAAGGCAGCACACUAAGUCAUUAUUGACGCGUGAGGCACGAAAGUGUGGGGAUCAAACAGGAUUAGA